AGACUUUCAGGCCUUAGUUUUAAAAUUGGAACAAUACACAGAAAAUUAGCAUGGCCCCUGGGUAAGAAUAAUACACAAAUUCUUGAAGUGUAUGAUAUUUUU
rfam:Erinaceus europaeus unplaced genomic scaffold scaffold01094, whole genome shotgun sequence